AAAAAGGCUGGGAAGAGAAGAGUAGGCAAGGCUGCGUUGACAAAGAGAACUCCGGUUGCUGGGAAGGAGGGAGACGGGCUUGCUGAACAAAGACUUGGAGCUGCGCAGGGAAUCUGUUUUUGCAGAGGAUGAUGCGACGGGAUCUCCCGUUAUAGAGAUAAGGUAUACGCUGAAACCUGGCCGUACCUGAUGAGGUUGAUAUGGCGAUGUAUCAAUAAACUGAGGUGGUAACGCGGAAACUUCCGUCCUCAAG
rnacentral:ncRNA from 1 species